rnacentral:lncRNA from 1 species
GAAAAAAAAGUAUCAAGCUGCUGAAUUCAAAAAUUAUCAGAAGAAUGUCAAAUCUUACAGAGGGAGUUGCCACCCAAGAACUGCUGGUAAGAAUCUGAGGAAGAUCAAAUCUUUUCCGAGAAGACAAAGGUGAUUUCUAAAGCUUUUCCUUUUCCAUACUGAGGAUAGUAAGCCUCAUAAAAAUAUCCUUGUCUUUUAAGAACACUCUAUUGUCAGUAAAAUAGUAAUUUUUUAGUGAUAUUUCUGAUGGAAAUGGAAGGCUAUUUUCUCCUGAGAGAUACUGGAAUGAAAAACAAUGAAGUGAGAUACAGUGAAACUAAUGACUUGAGUGUGGAUUGGUUAUGAGAAGAAUGUUUUGAACUUUGUCAUUUCAGCAUUUCACAGGCUUUCUACUUUGUGGUGUUCCUGGGAUUUAUUUAGAUGUGACAAUCACAUUGUAACAGAAUGAAGGAACAGUCUGGGAAAUUAGGGAAUGCUGGUGAUUUAUAGGGCUCUAAACCUUUUAAUUUCAUAAUAUCGGACUUCUAAUUUAUACUUUACUUAUCUACCUUCUUUAAAGUAUAGCACAAAUAAAAUGGAGUUAUAAGAGUCCUGUGAGUACUAAGGCAUACUUUGAAACAUUGUAAGCAUUCGGAAACAAACUGUACUGAAACAGAAAUGAAUUUUAAAAGAAAAUUGUAAUUCUUGUUGUUCUUCUGCCAUUCUGGUAAUGUACAGAAUAUUUCCAUUCCUCUGUUAUAUUUGUACCACUGAGAGUAUUUUGUGAAAGCAGAACUGGCUGAAAGAAGUAAAGAACUGGAAGGAUAAGAUAAUAGGCUAAAAUAACUUCUUCAUGCAGACAUUGACAAUACAAAGGGUAAUAUAAGGAAUACAAGUUUGCAUCACUGUCUCAUUCUCUGGGAUAUAACUUUGUACUAUCCUAUUGCGAUUUUCACAAGUAACUGUCUCUGCCCUUUCAUAGAUGUGAUACCAGCCACAAAUCUGACUUUGGGAGGGUUAAGUGAAGUGAGGACAAUACAGGUAAAUGGCUGUAUGUACUCAGGUUAA